rnacentral:rRNA from 1 species
CUAAGUUCCUUGGAACAGGACAUCGCAGAGGGUGAGAAUCCCGUACGUGGGCGCCUGCCUUUGCCGUGUAAAGCUCCUUCGACGAGUCGAGUUGUUUGGGAAUGCAGCUCUAAAUGGGAGGUAAAUUUCUUCUAAAGCUAAAUACCGGCCAGAGACCGAUAGCGCACAAGUAGAGUGAUCGAAAGAUGAAAAGUACUUUGGAAAGAGAGUCAAAAAGCACGUGAAAUUGUUGAAAGGGAAGCGCUUGCAGCCAGACUUGCCCGCAGUUGCUCACCUAGGCUUUGGCCUGGGGCACUCUUCUGCGGGCAGGCCAGCAUCAGUUUGGGCGGUCGGACAAAGGCCUCUGUCAAGUAUCUCCNUUCGGNNUGACCUUAUAGGGGAGGCGUAAUGCGACNAGNNCGGACUGAGGUUUGCGCNUCUGCUAG